rnacentral:rRNA from 1 species
AUUGAACGCUGGCGGCAUGCUUUACACAUGCAAGUCGAACGGUAACAGGUUAAGCUGACGAGUGGCGAACGGGUGAGUAAUGCAUCGGAACGUGCCCGAUCGUGGGGGAUAACGCAGCGAAAGCUGCGCUAAUACCGCAUACGAUCUGAGGAUGAAAGCGGGGGACCGUAAGGCCCCGCGCGAUCGGAGCGGCCGAUGUCAGAUUAGGUAGUUGGUGGGGUAAAGGCUCACCAAGCCAACGAUCUGUAGCUGGUCUGAGAGGACGACCAGCCACACUGGGACUGAGACACGGCCCAGACUCCUACGGGAGGCAGCAGUGGGGAAUUUUGGACAAUGGGCGAAAGCCUGAUCCAGCAGUGCCGCGUGCAGGAAGAAGGCCUUCGGGUUGUAAACUGCUUUUGUACGGAGCGAAAAGGCUCUCUCUAAUACAGGGGGCUCAUGACGGUACCGUAAGAAUAAGCACCGGCUAACUACGUGCCAGCCGCCGCGGUAA